rnacentral:lncRNA from 1 species
CACUGGAGAGUCCCACUAAUUGAAAACAAAAAUGGCUUAAACCCUUAGUAAGCUCAAGUCCUACUGAUGGAGAGACUCGUGUAGAGAGGCACACAGGAAUGGGGAAACUCAUUACAAUGGAAAACGUCAUGAGCACGUUUGUUGGGUAGACGCAAGCCAACAGAAAAGAUGCUCAACUCUCCUUGGCAAGGGUUCCUGGACAGUUUACCACCUGAGCUGAAUCUGGACCAAAAAUAGCUCUUAGGCACAGAGGUCAGGCAAGGGCAAAUAAAAGGUUUAUGCAAAGAUACAGCAGAAUGAAAAGGAAAGUGAUGAAUCAGAGGGCUGUAUGACCAGAAAUAGAAGUCUUUAAAUCCAGAAGGUGAGGAGUAUCUUUGGAAGGAAGCUCAUUUUCAACAAUGCUUUGUUUUGAGCUCUGUUAAUCCCAUAAUCUGCAUAAAUGGGCACUCAAUAAGUGUUUUUUUUUUACUAAAUGAAGAUUAAAUUGACCUACUAGCAAACUCAAACCUGUCCAUUAAGAAAAAUAAGAAACUGGUAUUAAAGGAUAUAUGGACUCUCAAUAUUUUUAAUUUUUGAAAUCUUAAGUUUCCAAAUUUACAACAGAAACGCUGUUUCAAUGUUGGUCUAUUUCAGCCAAAAAAUCUUUUCACCAGAAGUUAAUCACUUUUGUUUUUGAAUCUCAGUGCUUCUCUUUUGAAGACCAUUUUCUUCCUACAAAGAAACAGUUGUGUGCUUUUUAAACCAUUCUAAGUGAGAUGCUUUGUAUGCAUGAUAGUUAGAGAACAACAGACAGCACUGAUGUCUAGUGUGUACCUAGACUCACAUACUAGCUAAGUGAUUUUCUUCAGAAUACUAGAGGUAAAAGGAAAAUAAUUCAGAUUUUAAGAUUUGAAACAGGAUCACAGUUUUGAAAUGUCAUAAACUUUGGAGCAGUUUGCAAAUAGACACGUUUCAAAUGGUAAAUCCAUAAAUGGUAAGAACCUAAUACAGAUGACGAUGUUCACAUUUCCAGAGUCUUCCAUGGCUUCUCCUGUUACUUACUCAUCAGGAUGAUUAAAUCUCAGUCUGCUGAACCAGAAAGAAAAGUCCUGAAUCAGUCGCCCUCCUUUUUGAGCUCUCCUUGUUCAUAUUUCCAUUAAGCUAAAUAUCCUAAAUUAACUUAAUUGCAAUACCUAAAGGCAAGUUUGCAGCAUGUGAAAGUGCUUUGGAAAAAAGUGAAGUGCUCUAAUAUUACCAGGGCUGCUGAACGAUGAGUGACACCUCAAAGAAAUCUGAGCUAGUUUUUUCAUGAUAAUUUAAGAGACUCAAAGUCCUCUACCAAAUCAGUUCUCUAAUACAUACUGUGGUCCAACAGUCAACAAAGCACUAGGAAUAGAAAUUUAGUGUUGCAUUUAUUAGCCAACACAAACAAUUAAACCAUGAUAUAGUCAAUUUUUUUCUCAUGACGAAACUUCCUUCAAGGUCCUACAAAACUCUAAGGAUUUAGAAUAACUGGAAAUAUUAUAACCUAUUAGAUCAUUUUAAUAAUACUAGCAUCAGCAUCACCAGAUUGAAAAGACUACAAAAAAACUGUGAAGUAUAACAAACUACAAUGUUGGCCCACUUAUGUUUUCCUUGUUUAUACUGUUGUUUCUAAUUACAUGGUGAUACACAAAUUUAACAAUACCACCAUAAAUAGAAUAAAAAGAAAAUUGAUCUUCAUUCUAGCCGCUUCCCCCUUAUCUUUCCUAUAGAUAAUAUUAAAAUGACACUUAAAAUUGUGGGUGCCUUAUUCACUGAAAUACUUUUGGGCUUCUGGAUUUGAUGUCAUACUCAUUGCAGAGCACCUGGAUUCCAUGCUGCUUUCCUAUGACCUGCAGAAGUGCUUCGUUUUGACCAGGAGCACAGCAGCCUUAAUGACUAUCUAGGAGUGUAUAUCGCUAACAUUGUAGGAGAGGUUAUUUCAUCUUGCAUCAUAACACAUGAUGUACUACUAAAAGUAACAGUUUCUUAUAAACUUUUCAAAUUUCCAAGCUAGUUUCUUCCAUUACAACUGCCAACAGGAGACAUCCAGGUAUGGUAAAUGGGUGAAAUAGGUCUGCUGGGGGCUGUGCUAAACUGUCAACUGCAAGUCCUGGGCAGAGGAAACAGCUGCUGUUCAGUUCUAGCCAAUUGUUGCCACAUGAGAAUACUGGCCCAGUGUUAUCAGAACAUCCAAAUUUCAGGAGAAAUUGUAAACCCAGAGAUUCCUGUAAAAACACAAAUCUCCUGAAGUUUAAAUACUGUCUUAACUUUUAAAAAAUAUUACACAAAACAAACAACAUAUUUAUGGGCCAAAUUCAGUCCAUGGGCAGCCAAUUUGAAGUCUCUGCUACCCGUAUAUAAGCACAACUUUGUUCAUUUAAUCCACUGAUUAAUUUAUAACUCACAUUUGAGCAUUGAUCUGAAUGUGUCUAAAUGAGAUAAGCAACAUAAAGGCCACCACAUAAUGCUUCACAUAUAGAAAGCACUUCAUAAAUGUUAAUUAUUACUGCAGUUGUCCUUGUUAUUAUUGUUUUACAUUCUAAAGGUCAUAUAAGAAUAAUCAUGAGAAAUUGGUUGCCAUUAUGUUUGUAAACAAAGUUAUGCAGAAGCACAGAAGACAGAAUAACUCUUUCUUCUUGGAUGACUCAGUGUAGAUUUCCAGAAAAUGUGUAAUUUGAUCUGGGUUUUGAAUGAAUAGGAGUUUUACAAGAGAAGAGGUGGAAGAAGACCUUUCCACAAUGGGGACAGAAUAGUCUAGGUUAGCGCAGCGUAUUCAUGGGGCUCGGGGAGCCCAAUGCGUGGUGAGAAGUUAGUGCAAUUUGAUCAAAUAGAAGCCAGGAAUGGACAGGCAGGAAAUGAGGAAACAAACGUAAACUGGAAUUAAAAUAUCCAGGUGAGUGUGAUUUUUAAGCAAUGGGAAGUCAAUGAAGAUUUUCUCUAGGAGAAUAUGCUCAAGAUUGUAAAGGAAGAGGAUUCUCAUGAUGUUGUUUGUGAUGCAUUAAAGUGAGAAGGUAACUAAUGUGUAUGUGUUCAAUACAUGCCAGAAAUUGUAUUCUACAUUUUGUCAAUGAAUUGAAAUGUUCAUAUUAUUACUUCGUGUCAUUCAUGAGAAACUGAAGCUUAGAGUAGUUAACUAUCUAAGAUCACAUAAGCAGUUGGUGGUGCCGCCGUGCUUUAAUCAUUCUGAAAGAGUCCAAAGCACCUCAUGUUUCCAUUAGUCUACAUGGGAGCGCAUAGGAUAUGAAAUUAUUGCCAUUCAUCCAGAUGAGAGGUGGGACUGAAAUAAGAAAGGGGCAAUAAAGAAUUGAUAUUCAGAAGUCAUUUCUGAAGGGACGAAAAAAGAAGACCUUUUAAAAACACAGAUUCAGGGUAAGAUGAAAACUCUUACCUUUAGAAUGGAUAAGCAAUGAGUCCUACUAUAUAGCACAGAAACUAUCCAGGCUCUUGGGAUAGACCAUGAUGGAAAAUAAUGCAAGAAUGGGAAUGGAUAUAUAUGUAUGUAUGACUUGGUCACUUUCCUGUACAGCAAUAACUGGCACAACAAUCAACUAUGCUUUAAUAAAAAUAAAAAAUAAAAAAUAAAAAUAAUUUAAAAAAACACUAGUCAAGGAUAAGUUCAAGGUUAUGAGACUGGGAAAAUAUUAAAACAAGUGGCAACAUUCAAGACUGAGAACCCAGUAGAGGAACAAUGAUUUAUUUUUCUGAAAGGAAAAGGGUCACUGGUUCAGAGAAAAUUGAAUUUGUGACGCAUUGAGUUUCAAGGGUCCAGCAGACAUCCAAAUAGAGAGGUCCAAUUAGGAGUUGGAAAUGCAGCUGUAGAUAAGAAUUGUCAGGGAUGGGCAGGAAUGGGCAGCCCAUCCUGCCCAGUGGGGUUGAAGUCUUGAGGAACAGUGAGAAGUCAUGGGCAGAAUAUGUAAAGAAGAGAAGCAAUGACAUUAUCUAGUUAGGAUGAUAUGUUUACAUGGUUUCUUCACUAUUAAAGGUCAAGGUCGUCAGGACCAUGCCUUUACCAUCUGCACGUUGGCAUACCUCAGAGAUUUCACCCUCUAGCACACACAGUAAAUACAGGUGCUCUUUUGGUAAAUGAGAAGCACACCAAAAGAACAGAAUCUAAGGGAUAGCAAAAGGGAAAAGAGACUCAGAAAGGGAACAGAAAAAUUGAUUAGGUGAUGGGAGUGCUAAGAGGAGAAGAAUGGAAGCCACAGAAAAAGAGUAUUUCAAAAUAGAACUGUCCCACAGAUUGAAAUGCAUCAGAGAUAGAGUUGGGACAAGGACUUAAAAUCGGCUAUUAGAUUUGUCAAUAAGAGAACCCUGAAAAAUAGUUUCUUAUUCUAAAUUGAUCAUUGGAAGUAAUCACUGCGAUUUUGAAAUAUAUCCUGGGAGUCAGUCUGGGUAAAGCAAGUUUCCAAACCCACAAUUUAGCUGCAUAACUAGUAGUAUAGAUCUAGCGUAAAAGAAUACCAGGCAAUUAAUUGUGCUGUUUCAUUACAGGUGUCCUAAUUUAAAGUGAUUCCUGCUGAUAGGACAUGAUAGGUGUACAUUAAAGGGAGAAAAAUGAAACAAAUAUACUUUAGAAUAAAUUAUAAUUCUUUAACAACGAAAACCCCAAACACAGAGUAUCUGAGGAUGCACUGAUUUGCCUGAAGAUUCACAAAACUGGAGUCAGUUAACAUCUCUCCAAUGAAUGAAAAUAAACUGAGAAGGCAAAUAUAAAGAUCACAAUUCUUUGAAAAAAGAGCAGGUGCCUUUGAUAUUUCUGUUUUUAUGUUUCAUAGUUUCAGUGCUUCUAUCUUUCCAUGAUAAGCAAAUAGCCAUUUAAAAAACUCAGUCUAUUAAGAAUCAGUAUGUUGUUCCUGGAAAAUUAAAGACUCAUAAAUAUGCUAUACCUUCCUGUAACUCAAAUAUCUUCAUUAUUCUUCCUAAUCAGGUGGAGUUUUUUUAGAUAAUAAAUAUUCAGACAUAUUCAAUUAUGUAUGAUAUAGUGAUAUUAUAAUAUUUCAUUGGAACGUUUUGAGAGAAAGGGGCUAAGAUCUAAUAAUUUAGAUUUGAAUAGUACUGUUUUAGGGUUAAAAAUAAUAGUAGAAAAAUAACUGUAGUUUCUUUACAAAAAUCAGGGUAGAUGUCCACUAAGCAUCAGAUACAUAACAGUGCUUUAUAAUUUUAUUUAUAUAAUGUCUUAUAAAGUCCAAAAAUAACAACCAAGUUUUUUUUUGUUGUUGUUGUUUGGGUUUUUUUUAACCCACAAGAGAAUCUGACACCUCUGAAUUACUGAGCCAUCAUUGAUCAAGAACUAGCAUGGCCUCUUAAAGCCCAUAAUAGCUAACGGGAAGUAUAGCUAUAGGCUAUAGAGUUAGGGAUUUAAAAAUGUCAAGCAACACUAAUAAUUCAUGCAUCCUGGGACCAUAAAGCCAGCAGCAUGUCAAUAAUAAUGGCAUGCUCUUUGGAAAACAGGUGAAAUUAACAUGCUAAUGUUUUAAGUUAAGAGAAUACUACGGAACUUUGGUAAAAGAAAUGUUUUUCUCUAGCAUAGGAGGCUGCUGAUUUGUGCUUUAUGUGUUUUGCUGCUACUUAUUAUGCCUCCCAGACAUGUAUCCCAAAUACAGGGCUGCACAUACUGUCAGUUGACAAAGGGCCUGACAUGGCAUAAUAGCAAAAUGUGUAGGCAGUAAAAAGAAAUGCACAAAAUAAAUAUCAAUACCUGAACAAGUCAUGUGCACUGGAGGAUACAAGCGAUUUCACAUGCAGGAAACAUUUAAGAAAAGAGAUGACAAAAUAAUGAAAGAUACCUUUAGGAAGCCUAUCCUUUUGUUAAAAUAAAAUUUGCUGAGAUUUGUUACUCUUAUUUUUAUUAUUUCAAGAUAGCCUGUUUUAGAAGCCACACAACGUUUAGAAGCAAGGCUUCGACUCAGUGCUUUAAGGAGCUACUUGGCUCUUCAGGAAUGGUUGGGGUUUUUGUUUGUUUGUUUGUUUGUUUUUGUUUUUCCCCAUGGUCUUCACUUUCUAAAGAAGCCUUAAGAAAACAGAGGCAUUUGAAGAGGGAAGGAGUGCCGGACACAGGAGAAAAGGGAAAUGGUGUUUUAUUGAGCGAUUUUUUUUAUUAUCACUCUGGGAACCAAAAAAGUGACUACAUCUAUCAAAUAAGUCUCCCUCAAAAAAAUCUUUAGAUCAAUCUUU